CCUACGGGUGGCAGCAGUGGGGAAUAUUGCACAAUGGGGGAAACCCUGAUGCAGCAACGCCGCGUGGGUGAAGGAGCGUUUCGGCGCGUAAAGCCCUGUCAGCGGGGAAGAAGAAAGACGGUACCCGACCAAGAAGCCCCGGCUAACUACGUGCCAGCAGCCGCGGUAAUACGUAGGGGGCGAGCGUUAUCCGGAAUUACUGGGUGUAAAGGGAGCGUAGACGGCGAGGUAAGCCUGAAGUGGAAGCCCGCGGCCCAACCGCGGAACUGCUUUGGGAACUGUUUUGCUGGAGUAUGGGAGGGGUAAGCGGAAUUCCUGGUGUAGCGGUAAAAUGCGUAGAUAUAUGGAAGAACACCAGUGGCGAAGGCGGCCGCCUGGCCUGUUACUGACGCUGAGGCACGAAAGCGUGGGGAGCAAAUAGGAUUAGAUACCCGAGUAGUC
rnacentral:rRNA from 1 species